rnacentral:rRNA from 1 species
GACGAACGCUGGCGGCGUGCUUAACACAUGCAAGUCGAACGGAAAGGCCCUGCUUGCAGGGUGCUCGAGUGGCGAACGGGUGAGUAACACGUGGGUGAUCUGCCCUGCACUUCGGGAUAAGCCUGGGAAACUGGGUCUAAUACCGGAUAGGAGCCAUUCUGAGUGUGAUGGUUGGAAAGUUUUUUCGGUGUAGGAUGAGCUCGCGGCCUAUCAGCUUGUUGGUGGGGUAAUGGCCUACCAACGCGGCGACGGGUAGCCGGCCUGAGAGGGUGGACGGCCACAUUGGGACUGAGAUACGGCCCAGACUCCUACGGGAGGCAGCAGUGGGGAAUAUUGCACAAUGGGCGCAAGCCUGAUGCAGCGACGCCGCGUGGGGGAUGACGGCCUUCGGGUUGUAAACUCCUUUCGCUAGGGACGAAGCUUUUUGUGACGGUACCUAGAUAAGAAGCACCGGCUAACUACGUG